AUUGAACGCUGGCGGCGUGCCUUACACAUGCAAGUCGAACGGCAGCACGGGUGCGUGCGCCUGUUGGCGAGUGGCGGACGGAUGAGUAAUACAUCGGAACGUGUCCGGUAGUGGGGGAUAGCCCGGCGAAAGCCGGAUUAAUACCGCAUACGAACUGCGGAUGAAAGCGGGGGACCUUCGGGCCUCGCGCUAUCGGGUUGGCCGAUGGCGGAUUAGCUAGUUGGUGGGGUAAGGGCCUACCAAGGCGACGAUCAGUAGCUGGUCUGAGAGGAUGACCAGCCACACUGGGACUGAGACACGGCCCAGACUCCUACGGGAGGCAGCAGUGGGGAAUUUUGGACAAUGGGCGCAAGCCUGAUCCAGCAAUGCCGCGUGUGUGAAGAAGGCCUUCGGGUUGUAAAGCACUUUUGUCCGGAAAGAAAUCCUUGGCCCUAAUACGGUCGGGGAAUGACGGUACCGGAAGAAUAAGCACCGGCUAACUACGUG
rnacentral:rRNA from 1 species